rnacentral:rRNA from 1 species
UACGGAGGGGGCUAGCGUUGUUCGGAAUUACUGGGCGUAAAGCGCACGUAGGCGGACCAUCAAGUUGGGGGUGAAAUCCCGGGGCUCAACCCCGGAACUGCCUCCAAAACUGCUGGUCUGGAGGUCGAGAGAGGUGAGUGGAAUUCCGAGUGUAGGGGUGAAAUUCGUAGAUAUUCGGAGGAACACCAGUGGCGAAGGCGGCUCACUGGCUCGAUACUGACGCUGAGGUGCGAAAGCGUGGGGAGCAAACAGG